rnacentral:tRNA from 1 species
GGAGUUAUGGCUCAGUGGUAGAGUGCUUGCCUCGUAUGUGCAAAGCCCUGGGUUUGAUCCUCCGGUAGCUUUA